UGAGCGCAGCACCAGCAUAUGGUGCGUGCGGUGUGUACGGUGCGUGCGGUGCAUGCGGUGCGUGCAGUCUGCCCGCAGGGACUGGCGCCGGCUGCAGCUGCGGGUGCCGCAGGGUGCUGCAGGGCUCCUCUGCUCCCCGCGGGAAUGAGCCUCUUGUGCUGCACAGGGAUGUCUGCGGGGGGGACAAGUGCCUGCGGGGCUGCUCCAGGUCCCUUUCUCAUGGGGCAUCCACAGCCCAACAAAUGUCCCUGCUGUUUCCAGUGGUGUGAGCGUUUUGCAAAGUGCUGGGCGUGGUGAAAGGCAGGCGACAAGUGCUGGGCAUCAAUCCUUAGGUAGCUGUGGGGCAGCUGCUCAGGAUGUACCAAAGCCACCGAAGGCCCCAAGUUGGCCGGGCACUGAGGCACUUGGCCCUGCGAUCAGCCGGCACUUAGCGCUGCACAUUGCCAGGGGAGCCCGCAGUUUGCUGAAGGUUGCAAGGAGGAACAAUUCUCUGGAAGGUGCCCAUCCCUGGAAUAGAAAGCCGUAAGUGCCUGCUGCCCAGAGGCUCGGGAUGUUGCUGCAGGAGAUCUGCCCUGCCUAGAAACCCCACCUCACGUUCCUGCACAUGAAAAUGUCUGUCCAGAACCAGCUGGGGGUGGAGGAAAAAAUCAGGCAAACCUUGACUGGAUGCUGCGAGAGGAUGCGGCAGCCGGCUAAGAAUAGAAAUGCCUCCUCCGGCUUCCAGUCUGGCCAGUGCAGGAGGCCAAUGCUGCCCGCAGCAGGGCACUUCUUCACUUAAUGCGUCCACAGGGAGCAAUCGUGCGGGGAGUGGCGGAGCGCUGGGAGGAAGCGCGCCGCAGGCCGAGCCGAGCAAUGCCAGGGAACACCUUCGCUGCUGAUAAAUAAAAGAGAAAUAUGCUUCCUGCUCGGCUGCGGUGAUUGCAGCAUACAUCAGAAUUACAGCGCUGCUGGCAGGCUGUGCAGAGCAUGGUGCUGACAGAUCCCCGCGUGGAGACGGAUGGGACAGCCGGGCACUUUAUUCAGGAAAGAUGGAAGAAGUGAAAGAUGUGUUAAAUGGCAAUAACCCCUCGAUGAAGUAUUUCACCAUGUCAGACACCAGUAAAUGAUGGCAGCUGUAUCCAGCCUUGAUUAUUUCAUGUCUAUUUGCAACCUUCCAUUAAAAAAUGUACACGCUCUCUAA